AGCACCUCGCUUAGCCGGAAGUUACUGUUCUACCCUGUGUCUUACAACCGUAAAAAAAGGGGGCACCCCAAUGGACUGGCUUACCCCGGAACUCUGAGAGUGCGAACUAGAGUGCCACGUCAUGUCAGUUAUAUGGAUAAGAAAGGAGCCACAUUUUUACGACACAUGCAUCUGUGUCUUGUGAAAAACAUGGAGGAAAGUGUAUUUGAGACCUGUCUUUGCUGUUUAUUAAUUGUGAGUCUGAGUUUACUUUGCCCUGCAGUGAGAAUUGUGGUUGAUUUGGAACAGAGAAGAGAUUAUUGGGCAAAUGAUUGGCCUUGGACCCCUUGCUGGAGAGCAUAUCAAGGAGACUGUGGAGAUCAAGGAUGGUCUGGGAGAAUAUGUCCUGUUUAAAGUAACUAUCAAAUACCAAUAAUCAUAGUGCACAGAAGUAGGCAGAAAGAUUUGAAUUCUGAUUUGGAAAGGGCUAUUCUUUUUUAAAAUUGAAGUAUACUUGAUUUAAAAUAUUGUAUUAGUUUCAGG
rnacentral:lncRNA from 1 species